rnacentral:rRNA from 1 species
UACAGGGGGGGCAAGCGUUGUUCGGAAUUACUGGGCGUAAAGGGUUUGUAGGUGGCUUGCUUAGUCAGACGUGAAAUCCCUCAGCUUAACUGGGGAACUGCGUCUGAUACUGAUGAGCUUGAAUGCGGGAGAGGAUAGUGGAAUUCCCAGUGUAGAGGUGAAAUUCGUAGAUAUUGGGAAGAACACCGGUGGCGAAGGCGGCUAUCUGGCCCGUGAUUGACGCUGAGGCGCGAAAGCGUGGGGAGCAAACAGG